GGAAUAUCAUCACUUUGCUGUUGUAUUGGGGUGAUUGGCUGGAGAGAACAAUACUGGCAACGAAACAUGGAUGAACAACUGCAGUGUACUCUUCCCAAGUGCAUUCUUCUUCGUAUUAUCAGUACGCAAUCGGUUGAUUGUGAUGUCGUGCUGUUGCCGUUUGUCGUAUCGUUGAAGGCUGGGUCGAUCACUGGUGUACUGAUGUCUCCUGGGUAUGGUGGAUACCAAAGCACCACACCGCCGCCAUACUACUCAACAACAACAUUCGCACCAACCGGUUACUAAACUGAGGCUCACAAUUACAACAUCACCAAGGCUGCAGAAUAUUACACCGCAGAUAACGCUGCCCCGAGCUACAUCAUCAAAGAUCCUGAUUACUACACCGAGGCUCCCAAGUGCUACACCACCAAGUCACCGGAGUAUUACACGUAUGUUGCCCCAGCUUACUACACCGAGGUUUCUAAGCAUUAUUUUGUUCCUAGCUACUACACCGAGGUUCCAACUUAUUACUCCACCAAAGCGGCUGAAUACUACACCGAGUCGCCCAAUUACUACACCAAUAAGGCUCCAGAUUAUUACACCACAACUUAUGCUUCCCCGAGCCACAACACCGCAGCCCCGAUGUAUUACUCUGCCUCAAGCUAGACAACUAUAACUUAAGUGGCCAAGUAAAACGCAGCCCCGACUUACUACACAGCGGCUGCUCCUUCGUACUACGUUGAACCGGAAUACUACACCGAGGCUCCAGUUUACUACCCCACAACCUACGCUACACAUAGCUGCUACACCGAGGGUCCUAUGUUCUACACUACCAAGGCACCUGAGUAUUAUACUACUACUUACGAUGCUCCGACCAACUACACCGAAGCUCCGAAGUAUUACUCUAUCCCGACUUACUACACCACUAAGGCACCUGAAUAUUUCACCACAUCCUACGCUUCUCCAACUUACUACAUGGACGUUUCUGAAUACUAAAGUCGAAUUUUCAAUUUUAAUAAUCAUGUUCAUUUUUGUUGGUCAUAUCUUAAUAAUUACUAUUCACUGGGAAUUGUUGAUCUUUAAAGAGAAAUAGAAUUGUUUUAACCUGAGUAAUCAUUUUGUACGACUUCUCUUGCCACCAAAAAGCCUUGACAUUGCGACGUUUUCUGAUUUUUAUUGGAUCUUUCCUAUUUCGUAUGUUGGAGGUGGCUAUUUCUCUACUCGCUCUGUAUUCCGACAUGUUCUAGUGUUUGGACGAACUUUAUUUACAGGGCAAGAUUCGAAAGAAAUGUACUGUGGUGAACUAAAAAUUGUCGUUGUUAACAGUUCUGUUUUUAACUAAAGUUGGGGUAGAAAAAGGUGUUGUAGAUAAUGUUUAGUUUGUCACAGCAAUUUAAUUGAAAAAUCUGAAGAUGAUCAGUCACAAAAUAUACAAGUCAAAUGCUAAA